GACGAACGCUGGCGGCGUGCUUAACACAUGCAAGUCGAACGGGAUCCAAAGGCUUUUUGUUUUUGGUGAGAGUGGCGAACGGGUGAGUAACACGUGAGUAACCUGCCCCCUUCUUUUGGAUAACCGCAUGAAAGUGUGGCUAAUACAGGAUAAUCCAGGCUGGUCGCAUGAUUGGUUUGGGAAAUGGUUUGGUCUGGUGGGGGAUGGGCUCGCGGCCUAUCAGCUUGUUGGUGGGGUGAUGGCCUACCAAGGCGGUGACGGGUAGCCGGCCUGAGAGGGUGGGCGGUCACACUGGGACUGAGAUACGGCCCAGACUCCUACGGGAGGCAGCAGUGGGGGAUUUUGCACAAUGGGCGCAAGCCUGAUGCAGCGACGCCGCGUGAGGGAUGAAGGCCUUCGGGUUGUAAACCUCUUUCGCUGGGUUGAAAGGCCAUGCUUUGGGUGUGGUUGAUUUGAACUGGUAAAGAAGUACCGGCUAACUACGUGCCAGCAGCCGCGGUAAUU
rnacentral:rRNA from 1 species